AGAAGUAAAAGUCGUAACAAGGUUUCCGUAGGUGAACCUGCGGAAGGAUCAUUACUGAGUGAGGGCCCCUCGGGGUCCAACCUCCCACCCGUGUUUAACGAACCUUGUUGCUUCGGCGGGCCCGCCUCACGGCCGCCGGGGGGCAUUUGCCCCCGGGCCCGCGCCCGCCGAAGCCACCUGUGAACGCUGUCUGAAGUAUGCAGUCUGAGACAAUUAUUAAAUUAAUUAAAACUUUCAACAACGGAUCUCUUGGUUCCG
rnacentral:misc_RNA from 1 species